GUGCUUGAACACAGAACAUCUCACUUAACUCUUAGCACAAUCCUUAAGAGCCAAAUGUGUGAUCCCCCUCCAGAAAAGACUUGAGUCUUUACAGUUGGAAUUUCCGUGUCGUGAGUGGAAAAUAAGAAGCAAACCCAAGAGUUAAAAGCAAGAGGGCUUGAGAAGAGAGAAGAAUCAGUGAAAUAAUCUCUUGACUGGAAGAGUGAGUUGACUGAGGAAAUCAGCUGGAAUUGCCAGGCAGCACGAAGGGUUUGAGAUCACUUAAAAUUUGAUGUUAUUGUUGGGUCUUUAAGAUUAAGCACCAAACUCCAGACCCCAUUUUUCUCUUACCCCUCAAACAUGGUCUUCUUUAAGACAUAAUAACAUCAUUAUUUUAUUUGAUCUGACAAGCAUUUGUGUUGCACCUAUCCAAGCCUCUGGUGCAGAGGUGCAGUCGAGGGCACGUUCUCUCCAGGGACAGACUGGUUGGUGGGUAGAGACAAGAGAGAAAGAGAGAGAGAGGGAGAGAAGAAAAGGUUGAUUCCAUUGGGAGUUUUGCCUUCAUCCUCCAUGAACAGAGGGAAAUCA
rnacentral:lncRNA from 1 species